ACUCACGAAACCCUUUCCCCAAAUCACUUUUUCUUCAAAAUCACUUUUCCUUCACAGAUGGAAAAUCUCCAUCGAAAUCACUUUUUCUGAAAUCACUUUUCUUCAUCGAAACCGUUGUUUCUCUGAUCCAAAUCAAAAUCUCCAUCGAAAUCACUUUUUCUGAAAUCACUUUUCUCCAUCGAAACCGUUGUUUCUCUGAUCCAAAUCACUAUUUCUCCGUCAUCGAAACUGCGGCUUCUCCUUUAUCAAUCGAAAUCACCGCCUCUUUUCGCAAACGUGAGGAUAAGUCUCUGAUCGGAAUCCCUGCUUCUCCAUCAUAUCGUUUCUGCAACUUUUUCUUCGGAAAUCGCUUCUUCAACUGAGAGUUUUGUGUCUUGCAUCCGAAGGCUGAUUGAGUAUAUCACCUUUGAUUUAUGCUGGAUUUUAAUAGGUAAAAGUUGUAUCAUGAAUGACAAUAGAUCCCAUAUAGUAUUUUAUUCUUGCAUUGAUACCUUUUAGUGUAUUUUGUUUUGGAAACCUUUGAUAAUCAUAUAAUUAAUUAUAUUGAGUAGCUGAUAGGAAAACACAAAUUUUUUGUGAAGUACUUCUGCAAGAGAAUUAUGAUUAGGGUGUGGUGCAAAUGGAAGUCUCUUAUCAUUAUAAAGUAUUGUUAGAUUUAGACUAGAUAUACUUCUAAAAGUAAGGCACCGAUUUCUUUCUACUUGCCGGUAUUCAUGCUUCAGCCCAGAGGUGGCAGAAUGUUUCUGAGGUGAGGAGAGCUAUGAAAGAAAAGAUGGUGAAGAAAGAGCCAGGCAUAAGUUGGGUAGAAGUGAAGAAUCAGGUCAACCAGUUCCGCAUGGGUGAUGAAAGCCACCCACAGUCUAUGGAGAUUAAUCAAUAUCUUGAAGAAUUAACUUCACAAAUGAAGAUGCGGGGGCUAUGUGCCUGACAUUAGCUCUUUCUUACAUGACAUGGACACCGAGGAAAAAGAAUUCAACUUGACACACCACAACGAGAAAAUAGCUAUUGCUUUUGCUUUAUUGAGCACUCCAAAGGGAGAGCCAAUUCAAGUAAUGAAAAACUUGUGGGUUUGCGGUGACUGUCAUGUUGCCAUCAAGUACAUAUCAGAGAUUAAAAACAAAGAAAUUAUUGUUCGAGAUUCAAGCAGGUUUCACCUUUUAAAAAAUGGGGCGUGGACAUUGCAAAAAGCUAGCUCCAGAAUAUGAAAAGCUCGGUAACAACUUCAAGAAAGCUAAAUCUGUGUUGAUUGUCAAGGAGGAGGAGUUGAAACAUACAGUUUCGUUUCGAGACGUGUAUGCUCUCGUCUUCAUAAGAAAAAAGAUGGAGAAUAUGUCUCUCAACGGUCGAAGUUAUUUGUGG